GCAGCCCACGGAUUCCUGACUUGAUGACUGCAGUGCUGACGCACGACAGAGAGCCGCGGCCGUGUGAACGUGCCACGACUGCUGGGGUAGGAAACGAAAGUCUUAAAGGGAGAGAGGCGGCUGGGGGAGCUGUCCCUGUUGGUCGUUACAGGGGGCACCUGGGGCGCAGAGAGCCAGCGAGUGCCCUCAAACCCCAGUGGGCAGGCCAGCGAAGCUGGAGGCCACUUGGGAAAGCAAAAAGCCACCCCGGCGAGUUUCCAGAGGUCUCUGCGCUCUCCACUCCACAGCUGCAUUGUCUCCUUCGGCCCCGGGUGGGACGAGGCGAUGAGAGGAACAAGUGCCCUCUGCUUUGUCAUGCUCUGCCAGGCAAAAGCGACAGCCACCUCGAUUUCCUGGCGUGAAGAUCAUUCCUCAGAGACAGGCCCCACAGGGUGGACUGUGGGAUCCAGGCGUGCCCCACUGGAGCCCAGGGAGGUCUGACCUGAAAUCACUUCCAACGUGGCCGAGGGAAUCCACUUCUCCAUUACAGCACAUCAUUUCUUCAUGGGGGAAAUGUGUUUCCUAGAGAAGACCAGAAUUGUGGGGGCACACCGCAUGCUGCGAAAAUCUCACCUGCAUCUGAAUACAAACAGUUGACCCCUUCAAUCUGCUAUUAAUGCUGGUCCGCAGAUUGCUCUUUUCUGCCUGGACAACAAGCUAAGUGAUGCAUAUGUAAAUCCUUCAAAAGGAAAAGCUCAGUAAAGGCAAAGAUGCUCUGGUAUAGGAAAAUGAAAUCCGUGUACCUGGUCAAGCUGGAUGGACAGUGACUGACUAUCAGAUGUUGUUGCUAUGCUUUUGAUUUCUUUUGUCCAUUAAACUACAUAUUUUCUUUGUAACUCACAAAGACAGAUCCAAAGUUCAAAUAAAAGUUGCCCCACA